GCCGGAGUGGCGGAACGGGCAGACGCUGGGGACUUAAAAUCCCCUGGCCGCAAGGCCGUGCGGGUUCGAGCCCCGCCUCCGGCACCA
rnacentral:tRNA from 1 species